AGCCUGCCCAGUGACUAAGUUCAACGGCCGCGGUAUCCUAACCGUGCGAAGGUAGCGUAAUCACUUGUUCUUUAAAUGGGGACUAGUAUGAAUGGCAUCACGAGGGUUACACUGUCUCCUUUUUCUAAUCAAUGAAACUGAUCUCCCCGUGAAGAAGCGGGGAUGCAAAUAUAAGACGAGAAGACCCUAUGGAGCUUUAAAUGCUAUAGCACUGACUUAUUACUAUAAAAAUUUCAGAAUAAUAAUAACAAUUUUAGCCAGAUAACUAUUAAUUUUAGGUUGGGGUGACCACGGAGAAAAACCUAUCCUCCAUAUUGAACGGAGCUACUCCUGAACAAAAAGCUACAACUUUAAGUACCAAUAAAUUGACAUUAAUUGACCCAAUAAAUUGAUCAACGAAC
rnacentral:rRNA from 1 species